rnacentral:tRNA from 2 species
GCCCGGGUAGCUCAAUUGGUUAGAGCUUUCGACUUUUACGUAAGCAACUCUCCUAAUCUGGAAGUUGCUGUACCAUCGAAGGGUUGCGAGAUCGAGACUCGCCUCGGGCG